ACUCCUAGACAAUUUGUUGAAAUUCUUAGAUGUUUUCAAAUCAUUGCGAUCUCGCACUUCGGUCGUUUUAGAUCAAUUCCUUUGGCGGAUGUUUUAACGAAUUCUAACGGAUUUUCAAACGAAUUUUUUUUUUCUGAUUUUAACUGAAAAACGAAGCGAUAAAAAAGGCUUUAUAGUCCUUUCAAAAAAAAAACGAAGCUUAUUUUUUGUGUGGCACAAAUAUAUAGACAAUUGUGAUUUAAUUUUAAUACAAAUAAACUCUAGGAAGCAUUUGGGCUGAGACGACGAUAUAAUAAUUUGUUCAUUUUUUUAAUUCUAAAACUAUACAAAAAAAAAGAAAUUUUGCGUUUUUGCAAAAAACUCUAGCCCUAUCUCAAACGAGUUUUUUUUAAUUAUUUUUAAAAGCGAAAACUAAUUCAAAAUGCCGCGUCCAAUUGCUAGCCAAGAAGAUGAGGAUCCAACCCCAUACUUGUUUGUAUCGUUGGAACAAAGGCGUAUCGAUCAAUCGAAACCCUAUGACUCUAAGAAGAACUGUUGGGUUCCCGAUGAGAAAGAGGGUUAUCUCCUUGGUGAAAUUAAGGCCACCAAGGGUGAUAUUGUCAGCGUUGGCUUGCCCGGCGGUGAGACCAAAGAUUUCAAGAAAGAUCAGCUCCAACAAGUCAACCCUCCCAAAUACGAAAAGGCUGAGGAUAUGUCUAACUUGACAUACCUUAACGAUGCCUCCGUACUCCAUAACUUGAGACAAAGAUACUACCACAAACUUAUCUACACCUACUCUGGUCUUUUCUGCGUUGCCAUCAAUCCCUACAAGCGUUACCCCGUAUAUACCAACCGUUGCGCUAAGAUGUACCGUGGUAAGCGCCGUAAUGAAGUGCCACCCCACAUUUUCGCCAUUUCUGAUGGUGCCUACGUCGACAUGUUGACCAACCACGUCAAUCAAUCUAUGUUGAUUACCGGUGAGUCUGGUGCUGGUAAGACUGAAAACACCAAAAAGGUAAUUGCUUACUUCGCCACCGUUGGUGCCUCCACCAAGAAGGAUGAAAGCCAAAAGAACAAGGGCUCCUUGGAAGAUCAAGUCGUACAAACCAAUCCUGUUCUUGAAGCCUUCGGUAACGCCAAGACCGUCCGUAACGAUAACUCUUCUCGUUUCGGUAAAUUCAUCCGUAUUCACUUCGGCCCCACUGGUAAAUUGGCUGGUGCUGAUAUUGAAACUUACUUGUUGGAAAAGGCUCGUGUCAUCUCCCAACAAUCUUUGGAACGUUCUUACCACAUUUUCUACCAGAUCAUGUCUGGUUCCGUUCCCGGUGUUAAAGAUUACUGUUUGUUGUCCAACAACAUCUACGAUUACCACAUUGUCUCUCAGGGCAAGGUUACUGUUGCCAGUAUCGAUGAUGCUGAUGAAUUCUCCCUUACCGAUCAAGCCUUCGAUAUCUUGGGCUUCACCAAGCAAGAAAAGGAAGAUGUCUACAAGAUCACCGCCGCUGUCAUGCACAUGGGUGGCAUGAAGUUCAAGCAACGUGGUCGCGAAGAACAGGCUGAACAAGAUGGUGAAGAAGAAGGUGGUCGUGUUGCCAAAUUGUUCGGUUGCGAUACCGCUGAAUUGUACAAGAACUUGUUGAAACCCCGCAUUAAGGUCGGUAACGAAUUCGUCACCCAAGGUCGUAACGUACAACAAGUCACCAACUCUAUCGGUGCUCUCUGUAAGGGUGUCUUCGAUCGUCUCUUCAAAUGGUUGGUCAAGAAGUGUAACGAAACUUUGGAUACCAAGCAAAAACGUCAACACUUCAUUGGUGUAUUGGAUAUUGCUGGUUUUGAAAUUUUCGACUACAACGGUUUCGAACAAUUGUGUAUCAAUUUCACUAACGAAAAAUUGCAACAAUUCUUCAACCAUCACAUGUUCGUUUUGGAACAAGAAGAAUACCAACGUGAAGGCAUCGAAUGGACUUUCAUUGAUUUUGGCAUGGAUUUGCAAAUGUGUAUUGAAUUGAUUGAGAAGCCUAUGGGUAUCUUGUCCAUCCUUGAAGAAGAAUCUAUGUUCCCCAAGGCUACUGAUCAAACCUUCGCCGAAAAGUUGACCAACACUCACUUGGGCAAAUCUGCUCCCUUCCAGAAGCCCAAACCACCAAAGCCCGGUCAACAAGCUGCUCACUUCGCUAUUGGCCAUUAUGCUGGUGUUGUAGCCUAUAACAUCACCGGUUGGUUGGAAAAGAACAAGGAUCCCUUGAACGACACUGUUGUCGAUCAAUUCAAGAAAUCCCAAAACAAAUUGUUGGUAGAAAUCUUCGCUGAUCACCCUGGUCAAUCCGGUGGCGGUGAACAAGCCAAGGGCGGUCGUGGUAAGAAGGGUGGUGGCUUCGCUACUGUAUCUUCAGCCUACAAGGAACAAUUGAACAGCUUGAUGACCACCUUGCGUUCCACACAACCUCACUUCGUCCGUUGUAUCAUUCCCAACGAAAUGAAACAACCCGGUGUUGUUGAUGCUCACUUGGUUAUGCAUCAAUUGACUUGUAACGGUGUACUUGAAGGUAUCCGUAUUUGCCGUAAAGGUUUCCCCAACAGAAUGGUAUACGCUGAUUUCAAGCAACGUUACCAGAUCCUUAACCCCAGAGGUAUCAAGGGCGUUGAUGAUCCCAAGAAAUGCACCAAGAUCUUGAUUGAAUCCACUGAACUUGACGAUGAUCAAUAUCGUUUGGGUAACACUAAGGUGUUCUUCCGUGCCGGUGUCUUGGGUCAAAUGGAAGAAUUCCGUGAUGAACGUUUGGGCAAGAUCAUGUCCUGGAUGCAAGCCUGGGCUCGCGGUUACUUGUCCCGUAAGGGCUUCAAGAAAUUGCAAGAACAACGUGUUGCCCUCAAGGUUGUUCAACGCAACUUGCGCAAAUACUUGCAAUUGCGUACCUGGCCCUGGUACAAAUUGUGGCAAAAGGUCAAGCCUUUGCUCAAUGUAUCCCGUGUUGAAGAUGAAAUUGCUCGUCUUGAAGAGAAGGCUAAGAAGGCUGAAGAAGCUCAUGCUGCCGAAGUUAAGGUACGCAAGGAAUUGGAAGCCCUUAAUGCUAAGUUGUUAGCUGAAAAGACUGCCUUGUUGGACUCCUUGUCUGGUGAAAAGGGUGCCUUGCAAGAUUACCAAGAAAGAUGCGCUAAACUCCAAGCUCAAAAGAACGACCUCGAAAACCAAUUGCGCGACAUCCAAGAGCGCUUGACUCAAGAGGAAGAUGCCCGCAACCAAUUGUUCCAACAGAAGAAGAAGGCUGACCAAGAAAUCUCUGGCCUCAAGAAGGACAUUGAAGACUUGGAAUUAAACGUCCAAAAGGCCGAACAAGAUAAGGCCACCAAGGACCAUCAAAUCCGCAACUUGAACGAUGAAAUCGCCCACCAAGACGAACUCAUCAACAAGUUGAACAAGGAGAAGAAGAUGCAAGGUGAAAGCAACCAGAAGACUGGUGAAGAACUCCAAGCUGCCGAAGACAAGAUCAAUCACUUGAACAAGGUCAAGGCUAAGUUGGAACAAACCUUGGAUGAAUUGGAAGACUCCUUGGAACGCGAGAAGAAAUUGCGUGGUGAUAUCGAGAAAUCCAAGCGCAAGGUUGAAGGUGACUUGAAACUUACCCAAGAAGCCGUCUCCGAUUUGGAACGCAACAAGAAGGAAUUGGAACAAACCAUCCAACGCAAGGACAAGGAAUUGUCCUCCAUCACCGCCAAAUUGGAAGAUGAACAAGUUGUUGUUAGCAAGCACCAACGUCAAAUCAAGGAAUUGCAAGCCCGCAUCGAAGAAUUGGAAGAAGAAGUCGAAGCCGAACGUCAAGCUCGCGCCAAGGCUGAGAAACAACGUGCUGAUUUGGCUCGCGAAUUGGAGGAAUUGGGUGAACGUCUUGAAGAAGCCGGUGGUGCUACUUCUGCCCAAAUUGAACUCAACAAGAAGCGUGAAGCCGAACUCAGCAAAUUGCGUCGUGACUUGGAAGAAGCCAACAUUCAACACGAAUCUACCUUGGCUAACUUGCGCAAGAAGCACAACGAUGCUAUCGCUGAAAUGGCCGAACAAGUUGAUCAACUCAACAAAUUGAAGGCUAAGGCUGAAAAGGAGAAGAACGAAUACUACGGUCAAUUGAACGAUCUCCGCGCUGGUGUUGACCACAUUACCAACGAGAAGGCUGCCCAAGAAAAGAUUGCCAAGCAAUUGCAACACACCCUCAACGAAGUCCAAUCCAAAUUGGAUGAAACCAACAGAACCCUCAACGACUUCGAUGCCGCCAAGAAGAAGCUUUCCAUUGAAAACUCCGACCUCUUGCGCCAAUUGGAAGAAGCCGAAUCCCAAGUUUCCCAAUUGUCCAAGAUCAAGAUCUCCCUCACCACUCAAUUGGAAGAUACCAAGCGUUUGGCUGAUGAAGAAGCCCGCGAACGUGCCACUCUCUUGGGCAAAUUCCGCAACUUGGAACACGACUUGGAUAACCUCCGCGAACAAGUAGAAGAAGAAGCUGAAGGCAAGGCCGAUUUGCAACGUCAACUCAGCAAGGCUAACGCUGAAGCUCAAAUCUGGCGCAGCAAGUACGAAUCUGAUGGUGUUGCCCGCUCCGAAGAAUUGGAAGAAGCCAAGAGGAAGUUGCAAGCUCGCUUGGCCGAAGCCGAGGAAACCAUUGAAUCCCUCAACCAAAAAUGCAUUGGCCUCGAAAAGACCAAGCAACGCUUGUCCACCGAAGUCGAAGAUUUGCAAUUGGAAGUCGACCGUGCCAACGCUAUUGCCAACGCCGCCGAGAAGAAACAAAAGGCCUUCGACAAGAUCAUUGGCGAAUGGAAACUCAAGGUUGACGAUUUGGCUGCUGAACUCGAUGCCUCCCAAAAGGAAUGCCGCAACUACUCCACCGAAUUGUUCCGUCUCAAGGGUGCCUACGAAGAAGGCCAAGAACAAUUGGAAGCCGUCCGUCGUGAAAACAAGAACUUGGCUGAUGAAGUUAAGGACUUGCUCGACCAAAUCGGUGAAGGUGGCCGCAACAUCCACGAAAUCGAAAAGGCUCGCAAACGCUUGGAAGCCGAAAAGGAUGAACUCCAAGCCGCCCUCGAAGAAGCUGAAGCUGCUUUGGAACAAGAAGAAAACAAGGUAUUGCGCGCUCAAUUGGAAUUGUCUCAAGUUCGUCAAGAAAUCGACCGCCGCAUCCAAGAGAAGGAAGAAGAAUUCGAAAACACCCGCAAGAACCACCAACGUGCUCUCGACUCCAUGCAAGCCUCCCUCGAAGCCGAAGCCAAGGGUAAGGCUGAGGCCCUUCGCAUGAAGAAGAAGUUGGAAGCCGACAUCAACGAAUUGGAAAUUGCUUUGGAUCACGCCAACAAGGCUAACGCCGAGGCCCAAAAGAACAUCAAACGCUACCAACAACAACUCAAGGACAUCCAAACCGCCCUUGAAGAAGAACAAAGAGCUCGUGAUGAUGCCCGCGAACAAUUGGGUAUCUCUGAACGUCGUGCCAACGCCCUCCAAAACGAAUUGGAAGAAUCCCGCACCCUCCUCGAACAAGCUGAUCGCGGUCGUCGCCAAGCCGAACAAGAAUUGGCCGAUGCCCACGAACAACUCAACGAAGUUUCCGCCCAAAACGCCUCCAUCUCCGCUGCCAAGAGGAAAUUGGAAUCUGAACUCCAAACACUCCACUCUGAUUUGGAUGAAUUGUUGAACGAAGCCAAGAACUCCGAAGAGAAGGCCAAGAAGGCUAUGGUUGAUGCUGCCCGUCUUGCUGAUGAACUCCGCGCUGAACAAGACCACGCCCAAACCCAAGAGAAACUCAGAAAGGCCCUUGAACAACAAAUCAAGGAAUUGCAAGUCCGUUUGGAUGAAGCUGAAGCCAACGCCCUCAAGGGUGGCAAGAAGGCUAUCCAAAAAUUGGAACAACGCGUCCGCGAAUUGGAGAACGAAUUGGAUGGUGAACAAAGAAGACACGCUGAUGCCCAAAAGAACCUCCGCAAAUCCGAACGUCGCAUUAAGGAAUUGAGCUUCCAAUCCGAAGAAGAUCGCAAGAACCACGAACGUAUGCAAGACUUGGUUGACAAACUCCAACAAAAGAUCAAGACAUACAAGAGGCAAAUCGAAGAAGCCGAAGAAAUCGCCGCCCUCAACUUGGCCAAAUUCCGCAAAGCCCAACAAGAACUUGAAGAAGCCGAAGAACGUGCCGAUUUGGCUGAACAAGCCAUCAGCAAAUUCCGUGCCAAGGGACGUGCCGGUUCCGUUGGUCGUGGUGCCAGCCCCGCGAUUUAAAUUACGCAAAAUGGCACUGUAAAUGAUUCACACGGUCCACAUAGAGAUUCAAUUAGCAAAAAAAAAAAAAAAGAGAAACUAGAUCAUAAGUAAAAGCUUUAUGCAUCUCUUUUCAAACAAAAGAAAUGCAACAUUCAACAUUCAAUUUAUUACUUUAAACCAAAUCGAAAAAUAUAUUUAAAAAAGAAAAAAAAAACAAAAAAAAAUAAACAACCAGCUUACAAAACCCAAUCUAUUUCAUCACCAAAAGCAUCAAUCUCAUCGCAAUCAAAACAAAAAAAAAAAGAAUAAAACAAAAAGAGUCAUAGUCAGAUCAGUAGAAAUCGAGCUGAAUUAGAAAUAUCUCUGCUUUUUUUAUAACGAUAUAAUAUAAUAAUUUUAUUAUUAUUACUACUACUAUAAUACUACUACAACAACAAUUACUACUACUACUAUUAUAAUUGUAUAUGUAUGUGUGUGUGUACAACAACAAUAGCCGGCAGCGUCUAAAGGUGGUCGCAAAAGUGUGCUGGACCAGUAAACAAUCUUUCAUUACAUUUCCCCGUGCUAUGUCCGUGCGGCCACAAUUGGACGGUAUGGCUUUCCCACCAAGAUUCGACCUUGCUCCCGAAGAUUUCUAAAUGCCAUUAAAACAUUUUAAUUUAUUUUAUUAAUACUAUUUCAUAAUUAUUUUAUUUUACUUUAAUUUAUAAAUAUUUUACAACACUUUUUGUUUUUCUAAUUAAAAAAAGAAAUAAAAAACAAUUUAAAAAAUUUAUUAAAAAAAAAAAACAUCAACAACUAUAAACAAUCGAACGACGGGAGGAUAAGAAUGCACUUAGGCAUAUAUAUCACAACAACAAAAAAAUCUAAAAAACCAAAAAAAUAUACUAAUACUAGAGAUAGUAUCCAACUAAAUGUAUUUUGUAAAAUACCAACAUAAGAAGCCUAACAAGGACAAAACAAAAAUGAUGAAAAGUGGAAAGAAGAAAGAAUGAAUUUUCCUAGUGUAGUAACUUUCGCCAUACAUGCUCUCUGACAUCAGAAUACACAACCUUUACUCAUAUUGUUGUAAAUGAAGAAAGAAAAGAAAAAAACAAGAAAAAUUUUUAAUUUUUUUAUAUAUAAAAUUAUAAUAAUUUUUGUAUUAUGAAAAACAUGACUUAAGCCCCGUCAUAAAACUUAAUACUACUCAUACAUAUGUACGUUUAGGUUUAAAUCUAGUUGUCUAGUUGUCUGUGUCGAAAGUUGAAAAAAGAGAAAUUUAUAAAAAAAAACCAAAAACACACAUUUACUACACAUCUUCAAAUAAAUAAGAAUAUUAAAAAAAAACAAAA